rnacentral:lncRNA from 1 species
UUGUCCGAUCGCGGUACCACUUUCGAACGAAUUCAAGCUUAUAUAAAUUUGAAAGAAUCAACGAAAUAAAUUACAUCGGAUUUUCCGUUACCAUGUCAAUUUUAAUUCCCUGAAACCUUUGAAAACGAAGAACCUUCAUCGCGUGAUAACAACCGAAUACAAACGAAAAAACAAGAAAAAAUCAAAAACAAAAACACCAUACCGAACAACAGAAGAUUAAAAAACCAAAAAGGUGCAGAAAAAAAAUCAGAAUCGAAGAAAAAGAAUAAAAAAUACCCAGUAUAAUUGGAGUAAAUUCAGCAAGGCUUCUGCCAGCAACCCUUUCAGGCACACAAAAUGGCGACGGGUACCGCCCUCGUACAAAAAUUAGGCCUCCUUCCAUUACGAGCUGAUCCAGUGGUACCUGCAGAAACGCCAUCGAAUAUUAGCAAGCAGUUGGUGUUCGUUCGGUCUUGGCAAGGAGCCGCUGUUCCCGACAGCACAUUCAUAUCGUGAAAACCGACGCCGCCCCUGCA